CAGUAGCCGCGGUAAAACAGAGGAUGCAAGCGUUAUCCGGAAUGAUUGGGCGUAAAGCGUCUGUAGGUGGCUUUUCAAGUCCAUCGUCAAAUCCCAGGGCUCAACCCUGGACAGGCGGUGGAAACUACCAAGCUGGAGUAUGGUAGGGGCAGAGGGAAUUUCUGGUGGAGCGGUGAAAUGCGUUGAGAUCGGAAGGAACACCAACGGCGAAAGCACUCUGCUGGGCCGACACUGACACUGAGAGACGAAAGCUAGGGGAGCAAAUGGGAUUAGAUACCCCCGUAGUCCCUGUCUCUUAUAC
rnacentral:rRNA from 1 species